AUUGAACGCUGGCGGCAGGCCUAACACAUGCAAGUCGAGCGGUAGAGAGAAGCUUGCUUCUCUUGAGAGCGGCGGACGGGUGAGUAAUGCCUAGGAAUCUGCCUGAUAGUGGGGGAUAACGUCCGGAAACGGACGCUAAUACCGCAUACGUCCUACGGGAGAAAGUGGGGGCUCUUCGGACCUCACGCUAUCAGAUGAGCCUAGGUCGGAUUAGCCAGUUGGUGGGGUAAAGGCUCACCAAGGCGACGAUCCGUAACUGGUCUGAGAGGAUGAUCAGUCACACUGGAACUGAGACACGGUCCAGACUCCUACGGGAGGCAGCAGUGGGGAAUAUUGGACAAUGGGCGAAAGCCUGAUCCAGCCAUGCCGCGUGUGUGAAGAAGGUCUUCGGAUUGUAAAGCACUUUAAGUUGGGAGGAAGGGUCGUUACCUAAUACGCGACGAUUUUGACGUUACCGACAGAAUAAGCACCGGCUAACUCUGUGCCAGCAGCCGCAGUAAUAC
rnacentral:rRNA from 1 species